CCAGAGCACACAGCUGGGGAGACAGACCCAAGAAGGAACCUGACAUGGUGACCCAGACAGAGCCAGGAGAGAAGCCAUGAGCUUGGCUCACACAGAUUCUGACUGUGAGAAGAGGCAAGAGAUGGAAGGCAACUUUAAGAACAGAAAACAAACUCACACAUCCAGAGGAAGUGCAUAGGUCCGGGCAACGAAAAGCCUGAAAUCACAUAGAUGGCAAGACAAGAGUCAAUCCUAACAAAACCAAGGAAUAUUGCCUACCACAGAAGCUGACAAAGGAGGUGGUCAAAGCAUGCUUAUGGAAUAAAUGAAUAAAUGAACAAGUCCAGUCAUGUGUGGAGAACAGUGGGAUGAUCACCUUCCUUGUUUCAGACACCACACCUCUAUUAAUGCAGACCAACCUAGCUUUUUCAUCUUGUUUGGUUGUUGUAACACGACUAUCUCUGCCUCCAGUCUUGAGGCUUGUGGAACUUCCAUUUCAGGCCAUGAUGGAAUGACAAAAGUCCAGACAUAGUCUCCCAUCAUAAACAACAAGAAAACUGGGCGAAAAUGGCAUAACAAGUGUUUUCAGAUGUUGGACAACAGAUAGUGCAAUACUUUGAUUCCUAAGAAAAGGGGGAAAAGUGAGGUAAGCCCUUGGCCUUCUGCCUGGGAUCUCAUUCUGUACCCCAUGGCAGGUUGAGGAAUCCUCAGCAGAGCUCAGCAGUCUCACUAAGUUGAGGACAGAGAUUUAGUUCAGGGAGGCUGAGGUGACUCAAAAUUGUGGAGCAGAGUUUCAGAGAGGAGAGCUGCAUAGAAAAAACACUUCAGAGUCUUUGCUGAAUAUUAGGUCAUGCAUGCCUAGGGCAAAACUCCAUGAGGCCAGGCAAUGAAUGGGGAGCUGGAGACUGAGCAAUCCCCAAAAAUCACAGCAGUGAGAGACAUGUAAACUCCAACCAGGAGGAGCGGAACGUCCUCACGGAUCACCUGGACCUUCAGUAGAGACCACAGAAGUGUCAUGACUGGGUGGUGGGAUUAUCCCUAGAGUCAUUGCUUCUCUAGACUUGCCCUAAAAAUCUUCAAAACAAGCCUUGGGAGGAUCAAACUGAUCAACAAGUAACUUGUCUAACUGGCAGGAAACACUUCAACUUCUUUAAAGGACAACAAGAAAAUCCAGAUGCUCAAAACACAAUAUUCAGUAUCCAAUAAAAAAUUACUGGACAUGCCAAAAAGUAGGCAAAUGUGAUCUAUAAUCAGGAAGAAAAAUCAAUCAGAAAAUCAUAGAAAUGAUAGAAUCAGCAGACAAAGACUUUGAAACAGCUGUUAAGCUCUGUCAAAAUGAUAAAAAGUAAACAUAUAUGUAGUAAAGAG
rnacentral:lncRNA from 1 species